UUACACCUUUAUUUUCACCAGUCUUUAGCUGAAAUUCAGCAUUGCUUCCAUUAUGGAUGUAGGCAGCAAGCCAUGGUGGUGGCAGUCCCUGUGCCGUCAUCAUCUGUAGAAAUGGCCAGUUACCCUGUCAGGGUUGUGGCCGAGCUCCUUGGCCUCAUGGGUCCCAGGCCUGCGCUGUUUGUUAUCUGAUGUGCUAUCUAGCAGCACGUGGCUUCCUGAGCCAUGGUUUUUUAGAAUGUGUGACAACUGCAUUUUUCUGUACUGGUUGCCCUGCUGAUCCC
rnacentral:lncRNA from 10 species